AGGUAACUUGCUUUCCUCCCCGAAACUCCGAUUACUCGCAGCUGUUGCGGCGAGAGUCCGAGCACGGUGUCCGGCACCACCGCCGCCUCGCCGCCGCAUAGCGAGGCAAAACGAUUGUAGAUCGAUUCGGCGGCCUUCGUGGCGAGCUGUUGGUAGAGGAUGCUCUUCGCUAGUGCUAGAAACGGUGGAUUGGACUUGAAAUUGGGGGAUUCGCAUGAAUCUAAUAUGCUUAUCAGGAGAGGAUCCGAACGGCGUAAAUGAUCGAUCGCUGUACAAAUUUCAUCCGAAGACGAUAAUGAUUUGACGGUACCGGCCAGGUUCGGAAAUGCUCGUGUCGGGUCAUUUCCGCCGGAAGUUGUAAUUUGUGGUUUGGCCGGUUCUUGUUUGGAGGAAAUCUUCCGUACUUUUGUAGAUCGGAACGGAAUCUUGGAGGAAGACG
rnacentral:misc_RNA from 1 species